ACACAUAUACAUACACAUGCACAGACCCCAUUCCUAGCACAGAAAAGAUCUAUUAUAGGUAUUAAAUGGUGAAAAUGUUAAAUAUUAUCUCCAACUAUAUAUUUUUUAUUUAAAAUUUCUACUAUGUGCCAAAAUGUGUCAAAGAUAGCUUAGUCUCCACCAAAAAUUUCUACUCUUUCUUCUAUGGACUAGAACUAUGUCUGGGAAAAAGCCACCCAGCCAAGGACUACAUUCCCCUUACCCUUUUGCAUCAAAGAGGGACCAACUGACUGGCUCUUACAGAGGAAUAAGACUAUAAGUGAUGUGUGUCCAGGUGAUGGUGAUUAGGAUGUGGGUGUUUCUUUUCUACUCUUUCUUUUCCUUUGUGCUGGCUGGAGGCAGAGAAGUCCGAGAUCUUAGCAAAUGGAAGAAUCACAAGAUGGAGAGAGCCUGGGUCCCUGCAUCACUAUGUGGAGAAAAAUCACUUACCAAGCAGGAACAUCCACAUUAGAUGGGAAAGAAAUAAACUUUUAUGGUGUUAAGCCACCAAAAUUUGGAAAGUUUAUUUGUUAGAGCAGCUAGUAUUAUCCUAAAAAUCAGAGUACACUAAAUGGUGAAGAUACCAGUGAUAAGCCACAACUGGGUAAAAUUUAGAACACAGCCCAAAUCAAGCCACUGUAAAGAUGCAGUUAAGAUGUUGAGGGUAUUUAAAGGAGAGGAAGAGGGGAUCAGAUGAGCCACUGUCAAAGAAAAGCGUUUGCUCAAGCCUUGAAAGAUUUGGACAUGCAGCAAAGCCCAGGAAGGUAUUUCAGGGAGAAGAAACCAGAGGGAAAUGAGGAUGGUGUUCAGUAGGAAGUGAAUAUCUCCUUUAAAUCUCCAUGUCAAGUGUAUAAAGGGUAGUAGUGAGAAUCAAAGAUAGGAAAGUAGAUGGAAUCCAAAUUGAGGAAGAACUGAAAUGAGAAAUAAGUGUCUGACUUUAUUCUACCAGCAAUGGAUAAUUACUAAUGGUUUUUGAAUAGAGAAGUGAUAUAAUCAUGUUUCCAAUUAAAGAUGAUUUGUCUGGAAGUAUUAUGAAAGACUUCAGGAGAAAGAGUAAAUGAAGAUAAGGAUGUGAAUUAAAAGGCUAAUAUAUGAGUUUAGGGGAGAGAUCACCAGGAAUUGAGCUAAAAAUGGUGGAAAUGGAGUAGAUAAGAUGAAUGCAAAAUAUAUAAUAGAGAUAAUGUCAAUUGAUUGCAUUUGUGGGGCACAGAGAGAGAGGAAUGUAAAUAGAUUCUUAGGUUUGCUAACUGGGGUGACUGGGAGGUUGAUGGUGACAUUAAUAGAAGUGAGGAAGGGAGGAUGAGUAUGGAGGAGGAAAUGGGGGAUGGUUAAUUUUAUUUUGGACACUAGAAAUAGGAUAUUUGUGUGGGAGAGUCUGUUGAUGUUGGCCGACAGGUGAUUGUCCAUUUCAGACUAGCGUUAAAGACAGAGCAUGAGUCAAAUCAGCAACAUUCCUUGUAAGAUGUGGAAUUGCAAGGUCUGUUUUAAUGAGGAGGUCAGAGACUGGUAAGCUAAUGGGACCGGACAUAGACAGUCUUAGUAACAAAAUACCUUAGACUGGAUGGAUGGCUUAAAUAACAGAUAUGUAUUUUCUCACAGUUCUGGAGGCUAGAAGUCCAUGAUGAAGGUGCAGUGGAUUUGGUUCCCUGGGUCUCCCAGGGAUGAAGAGGAGGUGCCUCAGGAUUUACCCUGGAUCCGAGAGUGGUCAGAGCCUGGGAGGGAAUCGACAUUCCCCAUAUCACUCGCACUCCACCUUCUCAGACAGACCAGAGCACACUUAUUCAGUGUCACAUAUUAGACUUCUGGGGCAGCACGUGGGAAGUUAUAUUGCCACAAGAGUGUUAUAUGGACGACAGGGAAGGGGAAGGAAGAGGAGGAGGGCUAUGUUUGGUGCACGCUCCGUGUCAAGCACUUUGUCUCUAUUGAUCGGUACUGGAGCACCUGGUUCACAGGAUCUGGAAAGGAAGCCAAAGAAGUCAACAGCUUCAAAGCCAAGAGACUUUUUCUUAUCUCUCCUAUAGGAGCUCUCUGGGAGCUGGUGGAAGUGUGUGCUGUGAUGAUGAAUUUUAUGCGUCAACUUGGCUAGACUGUGGUGACCAGUUGGUAGGUCAAACACCAAUGUAGAUACUGUCAUGAAGGUAUUUUAUAGAUGUGAUUAAUACUUACAAUCCGUUGAUAUUAAGUAAAGCAGAUUACCCUCUUAAUGUGGGUGGGCCUCAGCAAAUCAGUUGAAGGCUUUAAGAACAAUGACUAAGGUUUCCUGAACAAGAAGGAGUUUUGCCUCCAGAUCGCAAGAUAGAAAUUCUGCGUGAGUUUCCAGUCUUCAGACUCAAGACUGCAACAUCGACUCUUAACUGAUCUCCAGCCUGCCUGCCCACCCUACAGACUUUGAACUUGCCAGCUCCCACUACGGUGUGAGGCAAUUCCUUAAAGUAAUCCCUCUUUCUCUGCCUUUCUUCUGUAUACAUACAGCCAUGUGCUGCGUAAUAUCUCUUCAAUCAAUGGACUGCAGGUCUGACAGGGGUCUUACAAGAUUAUAAUGGAGCUGCCCUAAACAGGUGUAUCGUUUUUUUUAUCUUUUAUACCAUGUUUUUACUGUACUUUUUCUAUGUUUAGACAUGUUUAGAUAGACAAAUGCUUACCACUGUGUUACGAUUGCCUAUAUUAUUCAGUACAGUAACAUGCUGUGCAGGUUUGUAGCCUAGGAGCAACAGGCCAUACCUUAUAGUACCUUAUAGCCUAGGUGUGUAGUAGGCUACAUUGUCUAUGUUUGUGCCAUUACACUCUGUUAUCUUCAUACAACAACCAAAUCACCUAAUGACACAUUUGUCAGAAUGUAUCCUUGUUGUUAAGUGAUGCAUGACUGUAUAUC